AACGAACGCUGGCGGCAGGCUUAACACAUGCAAGUCGAGCGGGCACUUCGGUGUCAGCGGCAGACGGGUGAGUAACGCGUGGGAACCUACCUAGUGGUACGGAACAACACAGGGAAACUUGUGCUAAUACCGUAUACGCCCCUCGGGGGAAAGAUUUAUCGCCAUUAGAUGGGCCCGCGUCGGAUUAGCUAGUUGGUAGGGUAACGGCCUACCAAGGCGACGAUCCGUAGCUGGUCUGAGAGGAUGAUCAGCCACACUGGGACUGAGACACGGCCCAGACUCCUACGGGAGGCAGCAGUGGGGAAUAUUGGACAAUGGGCGCAAGCCUGAUCCAGCCAUGCCGCGUGAGUGAUGAAGGCCUUAGGGUUGUAAAGCUCUUUCGGCGGGGAAGAUAAUGACGGUACCCGCAGAAGAAGCCCCGGCUAACUUCGUGCCAGCCGCCGCCGUAAAAC
rnacentral:rRNA from 1 species